rnacentral:rRNA from 1 species
UACGUAGGUGGCGAGCGUUAUCCGGAAUUAUUGGGCGUAAAGAGCGCGCAGGUGGUUGAUUAAGUCUGAUGUGAAAGCCCACGGCUUAACCGUGGAGGGUCAUUGGAAACUGGUCGACUUGAGUGCAGAAGAGGGAAGUGGAAUUCCAUGUGUAGCGGUGAAAUGCGUAGGGAUAUGGAGGAACACCAGUGGCGAAGGCGGCUUCCUGGUCUGUAACUGACACUGAGGCGCGAAAGCGUGGGGAGCAAACAGGAUUAGAUACCCU